UACGGAGGGUGCGAGCGUUGUCCGGAAUCAUUGGGCGUAAAGGGCGCGUAGGUGGCCCGGUCAGUCUUUGGUGAAAGCGCGGGGCUCAACCCUGCGUCGGCCAGGGAUACUGCCGCGGCUCGAGCACUGUAGAGGCAGGCGGAAUUCCGGGCGUAGCGGUGGAAUGCGUAGAGAUCCGGAAGAACACCGGUGGCGAAGGCGGCCUGCUGGGCAGUUUAGCUGACACUGAGGCGCGACAGCGUGGGGAGCAAACAGG
rnacentral:rRNA from 1 species